CUGCUUUAAUAAUUUGUUCUUCUGGUCACUAGAGAUCGAUUGUGUUUUCGCAUAUAUUACAAAGCUAUAGAUUUGAGUUAGAUUUUUUCAUAUUGACAAUAAACUUAGAUGUCAAUGUAUAAUGACUUUUAGAAGUUAACACAGAUCAUUGAAGAAGAUAUCAAAAAAUUUCAUGUUCACUCCCAUUUUCUCCCUAUCCUGGAGGAGAAAUCCCAUCACAAGAAGAAAUAUGCCAAGGUUGUGUCAAACUUACCAUUCAAUGUCAGCACUGAAGUUGUCAAACAAAUCCUCCCAAUGGGGGAUGUUUUCUCUGUCAUGGUGCUUAUGCUUCAGGAUGAAACAGCGCUACGCCUUGCAAACGCUGCAAUACAAACACCU